UAUGUGAUCGUCUCUCGCAUAUCAAUAAGCGGAGGAAAAGAAACUAACAAGGAUUCCCCUAGUAACGGCGAGUGAAGCGGGAAGAGCUCAAAUUUGAAAUCUUAAAGGGUUUCCCUUUACGAAUUGUAGUUUAAAGAAGUGUUUUCUGUUGAGGUUUUGGUAAAAGUUCUUUGGAAUAGGACAUCAUAGAGGGUGAGAAUCCCGUAUUUGACCUUUACUUUCAACUUUGUGAUACACUUUCAAAGAGUCGGAUUGUUUGGGAAUGCAGUCCAAAAUGGGUGGUAAAUUUCAUCUAAAGCUAAAUAUUGGCGAGAGACCGAUAGCGAACAAGUACCGUGAGGGAAAGAUGAAAAGAACUUUGAAAAGAGAGUUAAACAGUACGUGAAAUUGUCAAAAGGGAAGCGUUUGACACCAGUGUUGUUUUUCUGAAAAUCAAUUAAAGAACUGUUUAUGCUAAGCUGUUUAGACUUUAUCAGCUAAUCUGUUUAGUUUUGAGCUUUUCUUUAAUGCACUCUUCAGUUAACAAGUCAACAUCAAUUUCUUUUGCUGUAAAAAAGCUUGAGGAAGGUGGCUUGAGAUUCGUCUUAAGUGUUUAUAGCCUCUCGCCUACGCAGUCGGAGAGAUUGAGGUCUGCAGCGUAGAUCCUUCGGGGCUAAAUGCAUUUGUGCUAAGUUAUAGCAUUUUAUAGACAACUUGUUGACUAUGAUUUGUCUUGUAGCUUACUCGCUUAUGUUAUUUUACCUACGCUUAGGAUGUUGACUGAUAUGUAGUCGUA
rnacentral:rRNA from 1 species